UUUUUUUUUCUUCCUUCGGUGGACUCUUGCCGUCUUGAGUAGCUAGAAGAACAGCUCCGAUUGCUUGUUUAUUGUAAAUAUUGUGCUUUUGCCCAUCUCAACAAAUGCGCUAUCAUAUACUCUUUCUUAUCCAGGCCACAACAAAUAAGCUUGCCAGGGAUGCCUUCUGUUCCUGGCUUCGCGCUUACACCGCCCACCGAGGCGAGCUGAAGAAGAUCUUCAUGGUGAAGAAGCUCCACCUGGGGCAUGUGGCGAGAAGCUUCGGGCUGAAGGAGCAGCCCUCGCUGGUCGGGAGGUCGCACCAGGUGCAACUCAAGAAGAGGAAGAAAGAACAGAAACGCGAAGGGCAAGGACCAACCAAACGGAGAAAAUUCCCCACCAAGAAGUGAAUCCCCAUAUGGCAAUAGAAGAUCGUCACACAGUGAGACAGGACCUGAUGGAUGGUGGAUCAUGAAACUAACAGCAGCAGCGAUUUUGCAAGAAACUCACCAGAGCUAGACAACUAAUUUACUGUGCAACCACAGGAUUUUGUUACGUUUCCUUGGAUGCAAAAUGUUUGAUUAUCUUUGAUCAUAACUCUUGUUUGUCAAAUCCUCAUGCUUGUCUGUUCAUACGUUUGGAAGCAAGUGCUCGCUCGAAAUCACAAAAUAACAAAAUCUCACGAUGAUCUACAUGUUAAAACGUUUUAUUGAAUCGAUGCAAGAGAAUGAUAUCCAAUAGUUACAUGUCAAGCAUACUGAACAUGUUCUGCCAACAACUGAUAUGCUAAGAUGUUCUAUCAAAAUUACACUGGGAUUCAGAAACAACAUUACUGCCUGAACCGAUUUGAUACAAUGCUGUUCUAGGGCUCUUUGAUAAUCUACAGAUUUCUGGUGAAUUUUUUUCCGCCAAUCCGAUCCCAAAUCAUGGUAUGUUCAACAAAGGAGCUUCUCAUCAAAAGUGAACCAAACUGUACACAAGGAUCCAUGAAAGCUGCAACAAGCAACAACAAUCAUCUUGUCAGUAACCAUCAUCUGCUGAUUGAAUAUGCAUUGCCAAAUAAGUCAUGUGAUUGCUACGUGCUACCACUACUUAAAGCUUUUAUGUACUUGCUACUGCAGAUGCACAUGGCAGUCUGGAUUUCAGAAUGGUUACAGAGAUCGGCAACAUCAGCAUGGUAGAAAGAACCAAUAGACACAGUCUGGGUUUAAGAAUGAUUUCAGAUUUGCUUGGGAUGCAACUAGAUUGGAACUGAUGAAACAAAAACUGUUGAAUGAAUCACUUACCAGGAAAAGGGUGAAAGAUGCGAACAUCCCCUCCUGAAGCAGCGCGCCAUGGCCUCCGAAUUCUUCCUCGUCGACCUUCAAUAGGUGCGCAUAGUACCAGUAAAUUAUGCCAGAAGAAAUGGCCACGAACCUGUGAGAAAUCAGGCAUUAUAACCAUCAAGAGCUCGCAUACAGGUAGCCAAAACAGGGUCCUAAUAACCGAAAACAUAUUCCAACAAAAAAUACAUCUCAAUGGGCUCAUGGCAGCAACACUGGGUCUCAAUUUUGUACGAAAACGUUGCCCGCAUUCCAAAUUUGAAAACAGCUAUUAUUACUUACAUACCAAAAAUAACUGAAACGGCAAGAGCCAUACACUCCAUCGAGUCCCAAAAAAAAGGAGAUCCCAAUUGAGGUACUACAAGAACAUGUGUGCUGUGCUCAGGCCUUGCAAAUCCAGCAACUCCCUGAACAAACAUAUUCCCCCUAAACUUCGUUCAACUCCAGCAGCACCCCCAAAUGGCACCCCCUAAAUAACAUUUGUAACAGCUAGUUCUCCAAUGAAGGGGCGCCUUGGGGCAGCGGUAAAACUGUUGACCAUGAGGUCACGGGUUCGAGUCCUAGAAACAGCCACUUGUACUGCACCCUGCAGUUGGGCCACUGACAUGUGAGCACGUCACGGGAGCCACCUCCGUACCAAAGACCACCCAAAGUGGUCGGGCCCUUCCCCGGACCCUGCGUGAGCGGGAGCUAUGUGCACCGGUCUGUCCUUUUUUUAUAGUUCUCCAACGGCUAGUUUUUGCGUCCAUAUACACAAGUUCAUCUCCCUUAUGUCUCUCUCUCUCACACACACACUCACACACCCCUGGCUCUGUCUCCAUUCCACAUCCCAUUCCCCAUCUAUCCGUUGUCUCCCCGCAACGAGAUGAGCCGCCGCCGUCGCAGCUUGGCCUGGCAAUACUUCCUGGAUUCCUCGUCCGACGAAGAGGAGCUACUCUACAUGGCCGCAAUCAUAGCGCAAGAAGAGCAAGAGCGGCUGGAUGCCCCACCACUCCAUGACAGUUCUGUGCCGGCAAGUAUCUGCUCCUCUGUCGCCGCCGCAUCCGCUACAACCUCCCGCGUCCACCAGCCCAUCGCAUCCACCACAUCCACUGCGACCUCCAGCAUCCGCCGCGCCCGCUGCCCGGCCUCUACUCCCCGGUCAGCGCCGCGGCCGCGCCACGGAUCACCUGCGCGGACGGCGGUGACCACCUCUCCCGCUCCACCAGGCCUCCCUCCGGCCGAAUUCGUUGCACGGACCGGGAAGGGGUCGGAGGAGGAGCUCGAGGAGAGCGGAUAGCCGGUGAGGCGAGAGGGGAGCCGCAGCCGGGCACGACUCCACGGGCAAGAGAGAAAGCCAGACAAAGAAAGAAAAAGGGGGGCUGGAGAUUCGGGGCGCUUACAGGACGAUCCAGGGGGCGCCGACGAGCGGGACGGCGCCCCAGAGGAGGCCGCAGGCGAGCGCCACGGCGUGGCGGAUCCAGUGCACGGCGUCCAGCAGCUGGUCCUUGUCCCACGGCGCCUCCGGGUCGAGGUACCGCGCGAGCCCGGACGGCGCCGCGUGCCCGGCCCCGCCGCCCUGCUGAGCCCCCUGGCUCUUCGCCGCCUGCUUCUUCGCCGACGACGACGGCUUCGCCUUCGCCAUGGCGCGACGGCGGCGAGAUCGAGGGAGGAGGGGGCGGCGAUGGGAUCGAUGGGGUUCCCUCCUUUGGACUGAAAAGAAGAUCUCGUGCGUGUAUGGUUGGUGGUUGGGAGUUUUGCGCGCAGCCCCUCGGAUGAUGUCAAAUAUCGCGUGUAUGCCCCUAGAAAAGCGAAAGGCAAAUCAUUGACCCAUCAUGAGUGAACUUUUUUUUAGAGAAAUCAUUAGUGGCCUUGAUUGGCAUUGUUCGGUUCAGAGCCGGAUUUUGCAACAACAACGACAAAAAAGAUGGAAAAAAAGGAAAUCUUGUUUUUCGAUAAUGGCCAUUUUGUUUCGCGGGAUUUUUAACACGCGUGAAUAUAAAGAACACAUGAUCGAAGUGGAUCUCAAUACGAUUUAGAAAACCACAUGAAUUUUGAACCAGAGAGUGCUUGACGACACAAGAACAAAAACAAAAAUUAAUUUUUACCAAGAUGUCCGUGCCGAUGAAAUUUUCCCUCCAAACAGAGUGGCAGAACGAUUUCCCUGGAGAUUCCGUUCUUGCAGAUCAAACGAUCAACAUAUAUGAACAACAAAAGGCUGGUCACCAUUUUGGCAAAGCAUAACACAAAUUUAUAUGCUACUACAAAAGUGUGGCACGACACAAGUAUGGUGGCAUUAGCCAUAAACAGAUGCAAGCGGGCGAAAUGGCUAUGAACUGAACAUACGACGAAGAUCUCGACCGGUAGGGAACAACAUUGCACGGCACUACAUAGGCUCAACAAUAGAUCCUACAUUGCAGACAGAGCAAACCACACCCAAAAUUACAUCCACCUUCGGCACCAAGCCUCCCCGCAACAAAAACCAUGUCCAAAAUCACACCAACGCUUCGGAGGCCACACCAAACUCUGUUCUAAACGAUCGACAAACGAUUCCGCAGGCUUUC
rnacentral:lncRNA from 1 species